GACGAACGCUGGCGGCGUGCCUAAUACAUGCAAGUCGAACGCAGUGGGGACGGGUGAGUAACACGUGGGUAACCUCCCAUCAGAGGGGAUAACACUUGGAAACAGGUGUUAAACCGAUCCUGAUGGAUGGACCCGCGGUGCAUUAGCUAGUUGGUGAGGUAACGGCUCACCAAGGCGACGAUGCAUAGCCGAGCUGGGAGAGUGAUCGGCCACACAGGGACUGAGAAACGGCCCAGACGCCUACGGGAGGGAGAAUUAGGGAAUCUUCGGCAAUGGACGAAAGUCUGACCGAGCAACGCAGCGUGAGUGAAGAAGGUUUUCGGAGCGUAAAACUCUGUUGUUAGAGAAGCGGUAUCUAACCAGAAAGCCACGGCUAACUACGUGCCAGCAGCCGCGGUAAUUC
rnacentral:rRNA from 1 species